GGUCGUGUAGCUCAGUCGGUAGAGCAUUGGUCCAAUAAGCCAACGGUCCCAGGUUCGAGCCCUGUCACGACCA